AAUGAAUCCGAAGAGGAGGAUCCCAGGGUGCGGGGGAAGCGGGAGUACGCACGCGACGAUGGAUCCGCUGCUGGAGGGGCUGGAGCCAGGUGCCACCGGGACCCCGGGGACGCAGCGCAUCAGCAACUCCUCCCUACUGAGCAGGACGCGCCGGACAAGCCUGCAGCGGGGCCGGGAAGAGCGUGCUUCCAGAGCACCGCUGCCCGAGGUCUAGCCGGCACCUUGCUUCUGGGUAGGCUGGGUCCCCCUCGGCGCGUGGACGCGGCUGUGUGCCUGUGCGCGGAGCGGGUGACCCGCACAGGUCACAAGCGUGAGACGGAGAGGCAGAAAAGAGCCAAGGCCGAGUGGCGUCUUCGGUCCCAGGGGCCCCGCAAGGCUGCAGCGCGGGGCUCCGCCCUCGGGGCUCCCAGCGAGGAAGAGCGCGGAAGUGCGCACGUCCGGGACCGCGGCCCGCAGUCUCCCAGCCCAGGCCCCCCGGAGCCCGCCCGAUCGAGAAGAGGAGAGAGAGACGGUCACGAGCACUGCCCCUCCCCUGGGUCGGGAAGCCAGCGUCCGGCCGAGGCCACAGCUGACCCGAAGGCGGGAGCGGGGGGCGCAGGACGUCGAGGCGCGGCACCACCGCGCACAGCGCCGGCGGCUGGGGUCUCCCUCAAGUCCGCUGCCUGGACGUGGGCCUGGGGCGCGCGUGGGCCCGGCGGAAACCUAAAACCCGCGCGCCUCCGGAGCCUCGGGGGUGGGGGCACGCGAGGCUCUUUACUUCCAACAGCCCUGCGCAUUCACGAGGGAGGAAAGGGCACAGAGAACCCACGCGACCCUCCCAGGUCACACAGCAGGAAGGUGGUAGGACCUCAAGGCUGGGAGAGGCGGGGCCGAAGGGGAGUGGCAAAUAGUUGUCCACGCUCCGAGAGGUGGAGAGGAGGGACCCGGCCGGCCGGAGGGCUUCUCCCCGACCCUGAGGGUCAGAGGCGAGGUCGCGCGGGAGUGAGGUCCAGAGAGGGUAGAUUCCCCACCGCCCCACAGCCUGGCUCGUUCCUGGCCCUGAUCUCCCCCGGGGCAAUCCGACCCGACCGGACCCUACCGGCCGGCGGGGAUCCUCUCCAGCCCCUGGCGUGCAUAGAGCCCCUCCCUCAGGAUCGGCCCCAAGGACACCCCGAGACUCCGCACCGCUGGACUCUAGCAGAUUUCCCGCUUCCUCAGCUUCCCGCCCGCCCGCAGGGGCUCUCGAGGUUCCGCCCAAACGCCGCCUCCUCCCGGCAGCCCUCCAGACUCCAACGCCUGUGA
rnacentral:lncRNA from 1 species